CCCUUCGGGGCGAAGAUAAGACGGAUUAGCGGCGGACGGGUGAGUAACACGUGAGUAACCUGCCUUUUACACAGGGAUAGCCUCGGGAAACCGGGAUUAAAACCUGAUGAAACUAUCAAAUCACAUGAUUAAGAAAGUUAAAACUCCGGUGGUAAAAGAUGGACUCGCGUCCCAUUAGCUAGUUGGUGAAGGUAACGGCCCACCAAGGCAACGAUGGGUAGCCGGCCUGAGAGGGUGAACGGCCACAUUGGAACUGAGAAACGGUCCAAACUCCUACGGGAGGCAGCAGAC
rnacentral:rRNA from 1 species